GACGGAGGAUGCAAGUGUUAUCCGGAAUCACUGGGCGUAAAGCGUCUGUAGGUGGUUCGAAAAGUCCACUGUUAAAACUUGAGGCUUAACUUCAAAGAUGCCGUGGAAACUUUCAAACUAGAGUAUGGUAGGGGUAGAGGGAAUUUCCAGUGGAGCGGUGAAAUGCGUAGAUAUUGGAAAGACCACCGAUGGCGAAGGCACUCUACUGGGCCAUUACUGACACUGAGAGACGAAAGCUAGGGGAGCAAAUGGG
rnacentral:rRNA from 1 species